rnacentral:rRNA from 1 species
GUGCCAGCAGCCGCGGUAAUACGAAGGGGNGCUAGCGUUGCUCGGAAUUACUGGGCGUAAAGGGAGCGUAGGCGGACAUUUAAGUCAGGGGUGAAAUCCCGGGGCUCAACCUCGGAAUUGCCUUUGAUACUGGGUGUCUUGAGUAUGAGAGAGGUAUGUGGAACUCCGAGUGUAGAGGUGAAAUUCGUAGAUAUUCGGAAGAACACCAGUGGCGAAGGCGACAUACUGGCUCAUUACUGACGCUGAGGCUCGAAAGCGUGGGGAGCAAACAGGAUUAGAUACCCUGGUAGUCC